AUUGAACGCUGGCGGCAUGCCUUACACAUGCAAGUCGAACGGUAACGCGGGGCAACCUGGCGACGAGUGGCGAACGGGUGAGUAAUGUAUCGGAACGUGCCCAGUUGUGGGGAUAACUGCUCGAAAGAGCAGCUAAUACCGCAUACGACCUGAGGGUGAAAGCGGGGGAUCGCAAGACCUCGCGCAAUUGGAGCGGCCGAUAUCAGAUUAGGUAGUUGGUGGGGUAAAGGCUCACCAAGCCAACGAUCUGUAGCUGUUCUGAGAGGACGACCAGCCACACUGGGACUGAGACACGGCCCAGACGCCUACGGGAGGCAGCAGUGGGGAAUUUUGGACAAUGGACGCAAGUCUGAUCCAGCCAUGCCGCGUGCGGGAAGAAGGCCUUCGGGUUGUAAACCGCUUUUGUCAGGGAAGAAACGCUCUGGGUUAAUACCUCGGGGUAAUGACGGUACCUGAAGAAUAAGCACCGGCUAACUACGUGCCAGCAGCCGCCGUAAAAC
rnacentral:rRNA from 1 species